UGCUGGUCAUUUAAAUUAAGCAAGUCUUGUUUCUUGUGAAAUGCUCUGUUUUAAUGGUAUCUGCGGAUUCCUUGCUUAAGUUAGUGCAACUUUCUUAACUUAACAAUUUCGCAAUUAUACAAUUAUAUUUUUUUUGUGUUUUCGGUUGGAUAAUCUGAUUGGAUAAUUAAUGUGCGAGUGUGGCAAAGCAAUCCACCACCAAUUCUUGUUGUUUUGUGUAGUUAGCCUUUUCUUUGUCAUACCAUUCCAGUUUAUUUUUCUGUAAAAAAAAAAAAGACAACAAAAAAAACAAGCACUUUCGGUCAGCCUGCUGACUUUUUUAUUUUAAUUUCACGUCGCCGGAUGUGAGCCGAUGUUAAGCUAUGGUGCCCAGAGUCGAGACAGACCGCGUGUCCCUCACAGAACCCCGCUCUGUGAUACGUUUGAAACAGCUCAAUCUUUUGGAAGAAUCAAGGAUGACAACGCACAAGGACAAACCAACACCUUCUCAGUCGUAUACAAUUCAUACAUUUGUGCAGCUGCUGCCCAAUUAAAAAGUCCUAAAUUUCAUCUCAAACCACGACCCAUGUAGGUAGGACGGUGAGGACUGUGUGUAGACUAAGGAGAUUAUUUUGCACAAACUGCGCGUUGGCUGUUGUGCACGCCUUGCCCUCAGGAGAUGGCAGAGGGGAAUAAGGUUUCUGAUUGUGUGUUAGGAUGGAGAAAGGGAGGAAAACAGUCCCUGAGUUCCGCUGCUAUGGAAAAUCAAUCCCACCGUGUAUGAUGACCAGAGAAAAAAAAAAGAAAUGCUUUUUUCCUAUGUUUUGCUGCUAUUUUGUUUUGUUUUUAUACACACAAUGUCGAUAUCCUAUCACGAUGGGUUUGUAUUUUCAAAUAGAAAAUGUUAUUGACAUCUUGUCUGUUGUUUCUAGGUUAGAUUCUAUGAUCUUUGUCAUUAUGUUUUGUUCAUAUUAAUUAAGUUGUUGUGCUAUUACAAAAAUGAAAAAAGGAAAAUUGAAACAAAGGCUUUGAUCCACAAUACCUCAUGCAACCCUCAAUAUAUCUGUAAUGUCUAUUGUUCUAUUGUUGGUGUCGGUUGAGUGCCACCACUCACAGAUAGAUUCGCCCUAUCGGAAACAUUAGCUCUCAGUAGCUCUGCUGAGCAUGAAGCUGUCUCUGUAACAGAGACUCUAUAUCCCUGCUAUGGGCCCGUGAGGCCACUCCCUCCCUUUACUGUUGUUCUAUUUAUAAAGAAAAGCUUUUCCCCCUCCAGGUUUCAAAGUGUCGAUGAGUUGAAUUUGAGAGUAAUGUUGUGCUUGGUAAGCCAUAGACAUCCUUUUGUUUUACGAAUCAUUCCACACGCUCAUUUCCACCGGUCGUCCUAUUGGUCAUCGAAAGGCAACACUUGUAUUGUAUUUGUGUUGACUGCACAA
ensembl:lncRNA